AUUGAACGCUGGCGGCAUGCUUUACACAUGCAAGUCGAACGGUAACAGGCCUUCGGGUGCUGACGAGUGGCGAACGGGUGAGUAAUGCAUCGGAACGUGCCCAGAGGUGGGGGAUAACGCAGCGAAAGCUGUGCUAAUACCGCAUGUGAUCUGAGGAUGAAAGCGGGGGACCAGGCAGCAAUGUUUGGCCUCGCGCCUUUGGAGCGGCCGAUGUCAGAUUAGGUAGUUGGUGGGGUAAAGGCCUACCAAGCCGACGAUCUGUAGCUGGUCUGAGAGGACGACCAGCCACACUGGAACUGAGACACGGCCCAGACUCCUACGGGAGGCAGCAGUGGGGAAUUUUGGACAAUGGGCGCAAGCCUGAUCCAGCAAUGCCGCGUGCGGGAAGAAGGCCUUCGGGUUGUAAACCGCUUUUGUACGGAACGAAAAGGCUCUGGCUAAUACCUGGGGCUGAUGACGGUACCGAAAGAAUAAGCACCGGCUAACUACGUG
rnacentral:rRNA from 1 species